AUUGAACGCUGGCGGCAUGCUUUACACAUGCAAGUCGGACGGCAGCGGGGUAGUGCUUGCACUACUGCCGGCGAGUGGCGAACGGGUGAGUAAUAUAUCGGAACGUACCGAGUAAUGGGGGAUAACCAAUCGAAAGAUUGGCUAAUACCGCAUACGUCCUGAGGGAGAAAGCGGGGGAUCGCAAGACCUCGCGUUAUUCGAGCGGCCGAUAACUGAUUAGCUCGUUGGUGGGGUAAAGGCCUACCAAGGCGACGAUCAGUAGCGGGUCUGAGAGGACGAUCCGCCACACUGGGACUGAGACACGGCCCAGACUCCUACGGGAGGCAGCAGUGGGGAAUUUUGGACAAUGGGGGCAACCCUGAUCCAGCCAUGCCGCGUGUAUGAAGAAGGCCUUCGGGUUGUAAAGUACUUUUGUUAGGGAAGAAAAGGGAAGUGCUAAUACCACUUUUUGCUGACGGUACCUAAAGAAUAAGCACCGGCUAACUACGUG
rnacentral:rRNA from 1 species